GUUCUUUGUGUAUGCUGUUUAAGAAAGCUGUGCCUACCUUAAAGUUACAUUAUCAUACCUAAUCCUCAUCAUCCUGUAAGGAUAACAAUCCUCCUUAGGCAUUCAGUCAGUGAAGAUGUUGAGAUACUUCAGAUGGAGAGAAGUUCUACACAAUAACAUUAAAAGCCGUGAUACAAGGGUGUUACCACAGCAAGGCUAACAAGCUGGAACCUGAAUGGCAAUGGGAGCUGAAAAGGGAAUAGCAAAUGAUAUACACCAAAGCAUUUGUUUAAAGGGGCAUGAAGAUAAGCCUUCAACCACAUCAGGAGUCUGAGCCAACUAAUCGGAGCGGUGGUGUAAUGAAGAAAAGAAGAAAGAUAAGGGAGUAAAAUGUGAGAAGCAUUCUCCUUAAAGUCAGAAUCAAAAUAAAGAUGCCACUGUUACUACUUUUAAUCUACUCAACAUUGUACUAGUGAUCAUAGCCAGAACAACACAGCAAAAUUAGAAUGAGAACAAGUCUGUACUGUCUGUCCUUCUGGAGAAUGAGAGACCCAUGGAACAGAGCUCAAACAUGAGGCCAUCCUAGACCAGCCAGCCCAUUGCUAACCUGACAACUCUCUGUUAAUCUUACAAACAUAAUGUUGAGUGAAAAAGCAAGUGGCAGAAGAAUACAAGCAGUAGGAUGCUAUCUACAUAAAGUUCAAAAGAGAAGAGACACUGACACACAAGGAGUACAGUCACAUGAAGAUGGAGUCAGAGUGGAGUUACACCACCCCAAGCCAAGGAAC